rnacentral:tRNA from 1 species
GCGUCUGUAGCUCAAUGGAUAGAGUACUGCCCUCCGAAGGCAGGGGUUGCUGGUUCGAUCCCAGCCAGACGCACCA